rnacentral:lncRNA from 1 species
CCAUCCUUAAUAGGGAUACAUUGGUGGAUUUGAUAGAACUUGACAUGUGGAUUUUAAUAUAAUCUUGGGGAUGGAUUAGCUCUGUUCAUUCUAUGUGUUCCUGGAAUACAGGACUCAAUAGGCCAAUUUACAAUUACCUAAUGAAUUAGUGUUUGUAUGGGAGGGGAGUUCCUUAGUACCUAAAAGGAAGUUUAUUUCUUAUCUUAGACCUCAUAAAAUAAUCUCCAAAGAGUGUCUAU